rnacentral:rRNA from 1 species
CAGUCGCCGCGGUAAUACGAGGGGGGCAAGCGUUGUUCGGAAUUAUUGGGCGUAAAGGGUGCGUAGGCGGUUUGACAAGUCUUAUGUGAAAUCUCUGGGCUCAACCCAGAGUCUGCAUGGGAAACUGUCGGGCUUGAGUAUGGGAGAGGUGAGUGGAAUUUCCGGUGUAGCGGUGAAAUGCGUAGAUAUCGGAAGGAACACCUGUGGCGAAAGCGGCUCACUGGACCAUAACUGACGCUGAGGCACGAAAGCUAGGGGAGCAAACAGGAUUAGAUACCCCCGUAGUCCCUGUCUCUUAUAC